GAUGAACGCUAGCUACAGGCUUAACACAUGCAAGUCGAGGGGUAACGAGAGGAAAGCUUGCUUUCCUUGUCGACGACCGGCGCACGGGUGAGUAACGCGUAUCCAACCUGCCCCCAACUAGGGAAUAACCUUGCGAAAGUAAGACUAAUACCCUAUAAUUUCCUCAGAUGUCAUCUGACGAGGAAUAAAGAUUUAUCGGUUGUGGAUGGGGAUGCGUCUGAUUAGCUUGUUGGCGGGGUAACGGCCCACCAAGGCAACGAUCAGUAGGGGUUCUGAGAGGAAGGUCCCCCACAUUGGAACUGAGACACGGUCCAACAUCCUACGGGAGGCAGCAGUGAGGAAUAUUGGUCAAUGGGCGGAAGCCUGAACCAGCCAAGUAGCGUGCAGGAUGACGGCCCUAUGGGUUGUAAACUGCUUUUAUACAGGAAUAAAGUUAGCCACGUGUGGUUAUUUGUAGGUACUGUAUGAAUAAGGACCGGCUAAUUCCGUGCCAGCAGCCGCCGUAA
rnacentral:rRNA from 1 species